rnacentral:rRNA from 1 species
AUUGAACGCUGGCGGCAGGCCUAACACAUGCAAGUCGAGCGAGCGGCGGACGGGUGAGUAAUGUCUGGGAAACUGCCUGCUGGAGGGGGAUAACUACUGGAAACGGUAGCUAAUACCGCAUACCAUCAGAUGUGCCCAGAUGGGUUUAGCUAGUCGGUGGGGUAACGACUCACCUAGGCGACGAUCCCUAGCUGGUCUGAGAGGAUGACCAGCAACACGGGAACGAGGACACGGUCCAGACUCCUACGGUAGGAGGAAGAGGGGAAUAUUGCACAAUGGGCGAAAGCCGGAUGCAGCCAGGCCGCGUGGGUGAAGAAGGCCUUCGGGUUGUAAAGCACUUUCUGCGGGGAGGCGUUACCCGAAGAAGAAGCACCGGCUAACUCCGUGCCAGCAGCCGCGGUAAUUC